rnacentral:tRNA from 1 species
GAUCUUUUAGUAUAAUUUAAGUAUAUUUGAUUUCCAAUCAAAUGGUAAUAAGAUUA